UUCCAGCGCGAAACUGAUGAAUUCCAAAAUGAAUGUCAGCCUUUUAUACAAAUUCACAUAUCAGAGAGUGGCAAUUUACAAAACAUAUGAGUGCCGAUAAUAUCGUCUACACAGUACACAUUUGUAAAUGUGGUUAAAAAUGGGAAAAACUUCAACUGGUGCACAGCCAAUAAAAUAUAUUAUUUUAUCAAAUGUAGCGAUAUGUAGGAACCAAGUAUUUAAUGGAGUACGCAUUAAGUCACACACAGUAAACCGAUUUGCAGUUGAAUGAUGUCAAUAAAUUUAUUUUUCCACUAAUAAUAUAUUUGACCUAUAUAUAACAAUAUAUACAUACGUAUUUAAAUGUACAUCUUUCAGAUCUAUUUAAUAUUAAUUUGUGUUUGAGCUACUUAGAACUU